GAUGAACGCUGGCGGCGUGCCUAAUACAUGCCAGUCGAGCGAACAGACGAGGAGCUUGCUCCUCUGACGUUAGCGGCGGACGGGUGAGUAACACGUGGAUAACCUACCUAUAAGACUGGGAUAACUUCGGGAAACCGGAGCUAAUACCGGAUAAUAUAUUGAACCGCAUGGUUCAAUAGUGAAAGACGGUUUUGCUGUCACUUAUAGAUGGAUCCGCGCCGCAUUAGCUAGUUGGUAAGGUAACGGCUUACCAAGGCAACGAUGCGUAGCCGACCUGAGAGGGUGAUCGGCCACACUGGAACUGAGACACGGUCCAGACUCCUACGGGAGGCAGCAGUAGGGAAUCUUCCGCAAUGGGCGAAAGCAUGACGGAGCAACGCCGCGUGAGUGAUGAAGGUCUUCGGAUCGUAAAACUCUGUUAUUAGGGAAGAACAAAUGUGUAAGUAACUAUGCACGUCUUGACGGUACCUAAGCAGAAAGCCACGGCUAACUACGU
rnacentral:rRNA from 1 species